rnacentral:rRNA from 1 species
CAUGCAAGUCGAGCGGUAGCACAGAGAGCUUGCUCUCGGGUGACGAGCGGCGGACGGGUGAGUAAUGUCUGGGAAACUGCCUGAUGGAGGGGGAUAACUACUGGAAACGGUAGCUAAUACCGCAUAACGUCGCAAGACCAAAGUGGGGGACCUUCGGGCCUCAUGCCAUCAGAUGUGCCCAGAUGGGAUUAGCUGGUAGGUGGGGUAACGGCUCACCUAGGCGACGAUCCCUAGCUGGUCUGAGAGGAUGACCAGCCACACUGGAACUGAGACACGGUCCAGACUCCUACGGGAGGCAGCAGUGGGGAAUAUUGCACAAUGGGCGCAAGCCUGAUGCAGCCAUGCCGCGUGUGUGAAGAAGGCCUUCGGGUUGUAAAGCACUUUCAGCGGGGAGGAAGGCGGUGAGGUUAAUAACCUCAUCGAUUGACGUUACCCGCAGAAGAAGCACCGGCUAACUCCGUGCCAGCAGCCGCGGUAAUACGGAGGGUGCAAGCGUUAAUCGGAAUUACUGGGCGUAAAGCGCACGCAGGCGGUCUGUCAAGUCGGAUGUGAAAUCCCCGGGCUCAACCUGGGAACUGCAUUCGAAACUGGCAGGCUAGAGUCUUGUAGAGGGGGGUAGAAUUCCAGGUGUAGCGGUGAAAUGCGUAGAGAUCUGGAGGAAUACCGGUGGCGAAGGCGGCCCCCUGGACAAAGACUGACGCUCAGGUGCGAAAGCGUGGGGAGCAAACAGGAUUAGAUACCCUGGUAGUCCACGCUGUAAACGAUGUCGAUUUGGAGGUUGUGCCCUUGAGGCGUGGCUUCCGGAGCUAACGCGUUAAAUCGACCGCCUGGGGAGUACGGCCGCAAGGUUAAAACUCAAAUGAAUUGACGGGGGCCCGCACAAGCGGUGGAGCAUGUGGUUUAAUUCGAUGCAACGCGAAGAACCUUACCUGGUCUUGACAUCCACAGAACUUUCCAGAGAUGGAUUGGUGCCUUCGGGAACUGUGAGACAGGUGCUGCAUGGCUGUCGUCAGCUCGUGUUGUGAAAUGUUGGGUUAAGUCCCGCAACGAGCGCAACCCUUAUCCUUUGUUGCCAGCGGUUAGGCCGGGAACUCAAAGGAGACUGCCAGUGAUAAACUGGAGGAAGGUGGGGAUGACGUCAAGUCAUCAUGGCCCUUACGACCAGGGCUACACACGUGCUACAAUGGCAUAUACAAAGAGAAGCGACCUCGCGAGAGCAAGCGGACCUCAUAAAGUAUGUCGUAGUCCGGAUUGGAGUCUGCAACUCGACUCCAUGAAGUCGGAAUCGCUAGUAAUCGUAGAUCAGAAUGCUACGGUGAAUACGUUCCCGGGCCUUGUACACACCGCCCG